AGUAACAGGCAAAGCAGAAUGGCUACAGUGAAGGUCAUGAACUUCAGAAAUAAAGAGAUGCAGGUCUUUGUUCUACAUGGUGUACGAGGGAAAUGUAAUGGAUGACAGCUGUAGAAAACAUAUAAAAAUAUGAAGUAACAGUAAAGAAGAAUGGCUACAGACCUUGAAGAGCUUCAGGUUUUUGAUCUACAUGGUGUAUUGGGGAAACAGUGGAUAUCAUUUGAUAAGUAAAUCUGUAUGGAAAGGACAUCGAUGGCAGCCAUAGACCUCCCGCUAGGACAGCUACAGCAUUUGAUGAUGAAUCGGUUAAAUGUGACCAAAGGAACAAGGAUAUUCUGAAAGCAGUAAAAGCAAGAGGUCCAGUUACUUCUUCCAAGAGUGGCAAGCAAUGGAUGGUCUAUUCUGCUUUUCAGGGUCCUUGGGAACAGUUAGGAUGCAGCAUGGUGUUUAACAGAGGAGGAAAUUACAGUGACAGUUUUGAAGAGUUUGGGCUUGUAACAAAACAGAAUCCGUCUUGUGCCUAGAAAUUGAACUUACAUAUUAUGGACAAGGGGUGAGAUCUUUCCUACAACCAUGCUGUAUGUACUGUGGAGAUAAAGAACACCUGCUUGAGGAUACAGAUCUGACCUACCACCAUGCUGUAUGUACUGUGGAGAUAAAGAACACCUGCUUGAGGAUACAGAUCCGUAUAUUACAAAAUUUAAUGAGAACUUUUCAUGCGUAUGACCUCUGUGUACAAUAUGUCGAGCAAAUGGUCAAGAAAACUUGGGGUCAUAAAUAUUUCAAGAAACAAAAAAGGUGUUAAUUAUGAGAUAUGUGGGAAUUGUUCACUAAAUUCAUGAAUGUUGUGCAAACACAUGCGGGACCUCCGUGGCCGAAUGGUUAAGGUCCCUGACUUCAAAUCACUUGCCCCUCAUUGAUGUGGGUUCGAGCCUCACUUGGGGCAUUGAAUUCUUCAUGUGAGGAAGCCAUCCAGCUGGCUUACGGAAGGUCGGUGGUUCUACCCAGGUGCCCGCUCGUGAUGAAAUAAUGCACUGAGGGGCACCUGGGGUCUUCCUCCACCAUCAAAAGCUGGAAAGUCGCCUUAUUACCUAUAAUUGUGUCGGUGCGAUGUUAAACCCAACAAAAAAUAAAUAAAUAAAAAAUGCCCUAGUAUGCUUAAUUCACAUUCUGACAUAGCUUACAUUUUUGAUGUUGUGGAAAAUUCAUAAACUCUCAUUGUAUAUUAGUAAGUGUAUAAAUUUCUUAAAAAUAUUAACACACAUAUUGAUUGGUAUGUUGCAUGAUUUGCAUAAGUUUUGUGACAUAAAACAUUUGAAUGAAAUCCGUCGUUGAUUUUAUUACCUCGACUAUUAAAAGAAUAGUCAGCAGCUAUACUACUCACCCUGGCGUCGGCGUCACACCUUGGUUAAAGUUUUGCAUGCAAAUACAUAUAGCUAUCAUUUAAAGUCAUAUAGCUUUGAAACUUAUUUUUUCUUUUUCUAGGUCAAUUACCAACAUCACUGGGUCAAGUCCCAUAACUCUGACAUGUAUUUUGGCCAAAUUAUGCCCCCCUUUUGACUUAAAUAUCCUGGUUAAAGUUUUACAUGCAAGUUACUAUCUCCAGAACUAAUGGAGAUAUUGAAUUAAAACUUCACAUGUGUCUUCGGGGUCAUUAAACUAGGUGAUAGCAUCAAGAGCCAUAACUCUGACAUGCAUUUUGGCCAAAUUAUGCCCCAUUAUGGACUUAGAAAAUUGUGGUUAAAGUUUUGCGUGCAAAUACAUAUAGCUAUCAUUUAAAAGCAUACAGCUUUGAAACUUCUUUUUUUCUUUUUUUAGGUCAAUUACCAACCUCAUUGGGUCAAGUCCCAUAACUCUGACAUGUAUUUUGGCCAAAUUAUGCCCCCUUUUGGACUUAGAAAAUCCUGGUUAAAGUUUUACCUGCAAGUUAUUAUCUCCAAAACUAAUGCAGAUAUUGAAUGGAAACUUCACUUGUGUCUUCGGAGUCAUAAAACUAGGUGAUAGUAUCAAGUCCCAGAACUCUGACCUGCAUUUUGGCCAAAUUAUGCCCCCUUUUGGACUUAGAAAGUCUUGGUUAAAGUUUUGCAUUCAAGUACAUAUAGCUAUUACUUAAAGGCAUAUAGCUCUGUAACUUAUUGUUUCUUUUCUAGGUCAAUUACCAACCUCACUGGGUCAAGUCCAUAACUCUAACAUGUAUUUUUGGCAGUUAAUGCCCCCCUCUGGACUAAGUUAAAGUUGUGCAUGCAAGUUACUGUCUCCAAAUCAAAUGCAGAUAUUGAAUUUAAACUUUACUGUAUCUUCAGGGUUAUAAAACUAGUUUAUAGUAUCAAGUCCCAUAACUCUGACAUGCAUUUUGGCCAUAUUAUGUCCCCUGUGAACUUAAAACUUCUUGUUGAAGUUUUGCCUCCAAAACUAAUGCAGAUACUGGAUUGAAACUCUAUAGAUACUCUCACAUUAAGGGUAAUAUUCCUGCUUCUGGGACAACAAUUCGAAUAGUCGAGCAUUUGCUGUCUUACGGACAGCUCUUGUUCUAAUUUGAAUUAUUGUUGAGAUAUAAAAUUUUCAAACUAGUUUUUUGUCAGUUUUUCAGUUAAGUUUGUUUUAUCUAGAGCCAAAGUUUUGAGUUAUUGUUGAGAUAUAAAAUUUUCAAACUAAUUUUUAUGUCAGUUUUUCAGUUCAGUUUGUUUUAUCUAGAACAAAAGUGUUAGCCAUGCAUUUUAGCUCACCUGAGCCAAAUGCUCAGGGUGAGCUUUUGUGAUCGCUUACCCUCCGUAGUCCAUCCAUCCAUUCACGCUUUCCUUUAAACAACAUCUCUUAAACCAUCAGGUCAAUUUUCAUAAAACUUCACAGGGAUGUUCAAAGAAUUGAAUUCCAUAUAGAACUCUCGUUGACAUGGCAACCAAAAGGAAAAACUUUAAAAAUCUUCUUGUCCAAAACCACAGGUCAUAGGGCUUUUAUAUUUAAUAUGUAGCAUCUUCUAGUGGUCCUCUACCAAGGUUGUUCAAAUUAUUCCCCUAGGGUCAAAUAUGGCCCCGCCCUGGGGGUCACAUGGUUUACAUAGACUUAUACAGGGAAAACUUUGAAAAUUUUCUUGUCCAAAACCUCAAGGCAUAGAGCCUCAAUAUUUGGCGUGUGACAUCAUCUAAUGGACAUCUGGGGUGAAAAGAGGCCCAGUCCCGGGGGUCCAAGGUUUUACAUAGACGUAUAUAGGAAAAAAACUUAAAAAAUCUUCUUGUCUGAAACCAAAAGACCUAGGCCUUUGAUCUUUGUUAUGUAGCGUUGCCUUUUGGUUUCCUACCAAAAUUUUUCAAAUUAUGCCCCUGGGGUGAAAAGAGGCCCCACACCGGGUGUCCCAAGUUUUACAUAGACUUAUAUAGGAAUUUUUUUUUAAAAUCUUCUUGUCUGAAACUGCAGUGCCUAGGCUUUUGAUUUUUGGUAUGUUUCUAUUGCCUAGUGGUGCUUUACCAAGAUUGUUCAAAUUACGCCUCUGGGGUAAAAAAAAGGUCCUGCCCUGGGGGUCCCAAGUUUUACAUAGACUUACAUAGGAAAAAACAUUAAAAAGUUUUCUUGACUGAAUGUUCAAGGCCUAAUAAUAUUAUUAUUGUAACCUCAAUUUUCCCGGUCUCCAUUUUAAUUGCAUGUUUUGACUAAGAAGUAAAUAAAAAAAAAUCAACAACAUACCUACCCAACUCUAAAACUCUGGGUCAGUGGAAGCACAGCAAGCAAAUAUUUUUAAGGAUGGCCAUAUCUGGAUCAUUCUUUGUUUGUCUGGUAUCAUUUUUGCUUGAACUGAACCUCUAUCACAAAAACUUGAGCCAGUCUAAUUUGUUAAAAUAUUAUGUCCCAUGGGAUUUGGGCUUUUAUUUCUAUGUCCCAACUCUGGUCUCAUAGGUCGAGUGGUUAAAGAGUUGAAUUACUUUCCCUUAACCUCUGUAGGUUUGAGUUGCAUUCGGUAUAUAAGAUGUCCAUAAAUCAAAGCUGUCUGUGUGGGUUUGAGAAUGUCUGUGGUUCUAUACUGAAGCCCGUCUUAUCCUAAAUAUGGUUGUGUACCAAAGCCCGUCUUACCCAGAAUAUGGUUCUUUACUGAAGCCCGUCUUAUCACAAAUAUGGUUCUGUACCGAUGCCCAUCUUAUCCUAAGUAUGGUUUUAUACCGAAGCCUGUCUUAUUCUAAAUAUGGAGGAACGUGAGGAAGCCAUCCAGCUGGCUUAUGGAAGGUCAGUGGUUCUACCCAGGUGCCCGCUCGUGAUGAAAGUAUGCACGGAGGGGCACCUGGGGUCUUCCGUCACCAUUAAAGCUGGAAAGUGGCCAUAUGACCUAAAAUUGUGUCGGUGCGACGUUAAACCUAACAAAAAAAAAA